rnacentral:rRNA from 1 species
GAACGAACGCUGGCGGCAGGCUUAACACAUGCAAGUCGAACGCAUCGCAAGAUGAGUGGCAGACGGGUGAGUACACGUGGGAAUCUACCUAGUUCUACGGGAUAGCCCGGGGAAACCCGGAUUAAUACCGUAUACGCCCUAUGGGGGAAAGAUUUAUCGGAAUUAGAUGAGCCCGCGGUUGAUUAGCUAGUUGGUGAGGUAAUGGCUCACCAAGGCGACGAUCAAUAGCUGGUCUGAGAGGAUGAUCAGCCACACUGGAACUGAGACACGGUCCAGACUCCUACGGGAGGCAGCAGUGGGGAAUAUUGGACAAUGGGCGCAAGCCUGAUCCAGCCAUGCCGCGUGAGUGACGAAGGCCUUAGGGUUGUAAAGCUCUUUUAACAGGGAAGAUAAUGACGGUACCUGUAGAAUAAGCUCCGGCUAACUUCGUG